AUCACCUGCAACCUAGUGGUAUGCUUGGUCAUUACUUUAGAGACCGUCAAAUGUGGACACUUCGGAGCCUAAUCUCAUUGAAGGGAAAGUUUUGAGUUUGCUAUCUGAUUUGCAAAGAGAAAAAAGUUGUUAAGCAAAUAUUUGUAUGCUUUGCUCCUCCGUUCAUUUUCUGAACUUUUUUUCAGCUUAAAAACAAUAACAUGAUAUUUAAAUUAAUUAUGUUAUUAUCAUAGACAAUAUGCUGAUUAUUACCCAAUGAUAAACUUUUGCUUCUGCAAGCAUCAAGAAAGAGGGGAAUGUUGUUGUAUCUGGAGAUGGCACUAAUGAUGCUCCUAUUAUAUCUUUAAAACUCUAUUUAGCUGCUCCCUUUUUUUUCUUUUCUUGUUUAUUGAUCUUACCAUAGAACUUCAGCUUAAUGAUGUGGAAUAAUUGCUUCUUUUUUCAACUUACUGUCGUGGGAUAGUCUGAUAGGGUUUUGGGUGAGGAAUUCACGGAGUGGAUGCCAGCUGAUACUGGACUGGUUUUGGAUUCUUAGAUUUUGGGCAUUGAUUUAGUUAGUCAGAUGGGCCCAUUUAUUAUGAUUUCAUUCUCUUGCUUUGGGAUUUAUUCAGCUUUAUGUACAUACUGUUUAUUUAAUUAUUUUAAUAUCCAGUCCGAUAUUUAAAAAAACAGAUAAAAUUCAAACCGUUUUCAAAAUAAACAAUAUAAAAACUCUUUGUUCAUGCAUCUCUCUCACUGUUCUCCCUUUAGUCUCUCCUCUUUUCCUCUUUUUUUUCUACUAUUUUUCUUCUUUCUCUUGUUUUCUUCUCUCUAAGAGAGUUUUCGUGAGAGAGAAACCCUAAGUUUUCUCUGGCGUUUCUGGUUUUUGUGAUUUUUGAAAUUCGCUGCUUCAACGGAGACUCAUUUCAGACUUGGCAAUGGUGUUUUGGCAUUUCCCAGCUUUAGGAGGUCUGGAGUAUAUUUGACAAAAUCAUCAAGAAGGAAAUACCAGCUACCGUGGUGUAUGAAGAUGAUGAGGUUCUGAUCUUUUUUCUUUUUCUUUUUACUUCUGAUUUUAAAUUCUGCAGAUUCAGUCACUGCUUAUUUGUACGCUGGAAAGAUAUUUUAGAAAUCAGGCCUUUUUUUUUUCCUUCUUGAACUAUGGCUUGAUUCUUGCAACAGGUGAUGCUCAUUAUAUAUAUAUAUAUAUUUAUUUGUUUCUUAAAACAAA